rnacentral:rRNA from 1 species
CGCUCUUGACCUCGCGUCUUGAGUGUGUACUUGUUAAGCCUUAUAAGAAAAAAGUUAUUAACUUAAGGAAUUAUAACAAAGAAGUGACACGUAAUGGAUUCAUCCAUUUUUAGUGUGUAUCAAUCGAGUUUCUGACCUAUCAGCUUUUGAUGUUAGGGUAUUGGCCUAACAUGGCUAUGACGGGUAACGGGGAAUUAGAGUUCGAUUCCGGAGAGGGAGCCUGAGAAAUAGCUACCACAUCUAAGGAAGGCAGCAGGCGCGUAAAUUACCCAAUUCUAAAGAAGAGAGGUAGUGACAAGAAAUAACAAUACAAGGCCAAUCUGGCUUUGUAAUUGGAAUGAUGGGAAUUUAAAACCUUCCCAAAAUACAAUUGGAGGGCAAGUCUGGUGCCAGCAGCCGCGGUAAUUCCAGCUCCAAUAGCGUAUAUUAAAAUUGUUGCAGUUAAAACGCUCGUAGUUGAAUUUCAAAGGAUCGAUAUUUUAAGUAACGCUUUUAGCUUAAAUCCACAUAACAGACACUUCGUGUCGACUUUGUGCGCAUUUUCGCUAUUAUGUGUUCUUUUAAUUAAAAUGAUUCUUUUUAAAUCUCUAAUAAUUGCUUCGGCAUUUUUGGGGAUUUGUUACUUUGAGUAAAUUAGAGUGUUCAAAGCAAACAGAUAUAGCAUUUGUGCGUUUGAAUACUACAGCAUGGAAUAACAAAAUUGAACAAGUCAAAAUUUUUGUUCUUUUUUCUUAUUUUGGCUUAGUUACGAUUAAUAGGAGUAGCUUGGGGGCAUUUGUAUUCAGAUGUCAGAGGUGAAAUUCUUAGAUUUUCUGGAGACAAACAACUGCGAAAGCAUUUGCCUAAAAUACUUCCAUUAAUCAAGAACGAAAGUUAAGGGAGUGAAGACGAUCAGAUACCGUCGUAAUCUUAACCAUAAACUAUGCCGACUAGGC